rnacentral:rRNA from 1 species
AUUGAACGCUGGCGGCAGGCCUAACACAUGCAAGUCGAGCGGUCGAGGUAGCUUGCUACCGAUGCAGCGGCGGACGGGUGAGUAAUACAUGGGAAUCUGCCUGGUAGUGGGGGGCAACGUUUCGAAAGGAACGCUAAUACCGCAUACGCCCUACGGGGAAAGGGGGGAGUCUUCGGACCUCUCGCUAUCAGAUGAGCCCA